rfam:Brevibacillus panacihumi W25 genomic scaffold Scaffold1, whole genome shotgun sequence.
GGCGGCGUAGCUCAGCUGGCUAGAGCGUUCGGUUCAUACCCGAAAGGUCGGGGGUUCGAGCCCCUCCACCGCUA